CACUACAGUGAAGGACAAAAGUAAGGUUUGCCCAGUGCCCUGAUGAAAGUAAUCGGAUAACCAACUAAUAUGCAGAAGACCCAGAACCACUGGGAGAUGCAUGCCUACAGCAGGGUGCCCGCAUUAUAAAGACUGAGGCAUCUGAGAUGGCACUAACUUCCAAAGG